rnacentral:lncRNA from 1 species
AUAAAAAAAAAAAAAAAAAAAAAAAAAAAAAAGAGGACCGGAACGGUGUCGUUUUGAACGACACUGUUCCUCUUCUUCUUUUCCCCCCCGAACCUGCAACAGAAGAAGAAAACCGUUUUCAAAAAAAAAAAAACCAUCCCGCGCCUCUCUCUCUCUCCUCGCCCCACCACCUUUAGAUAUUGGCCGACCAGCCGUUACACCCGAUGGUCCCCCACGGUUCUGCCCCUAUAAAAGAAAACCGAAAGAAAGAGAAGGGGACCCGAGAGGAAUAGAGAGAGAGAGACCCGAAGGGAGGAGAGAGAGAGAGAAAACCGCCUGACCCGCCGUCCGUAAGCCAAGCUGCCACCGUCUCCGCAGCAGCACCGCCAGCAAGCCGUCGUCUCCGCCGUGCCAGG